rnacentral:rRNA from 1 species
UAUGUGAUCGUCUCUCGCAUAUCAAUAAGCGGAGGAAAAGAAACUAACAAGGAUUCCCCUAGUAACGGCGAGUGAAGCGGGAAGAGCUCAAAUUUGAAAUCUUAAAGGGUUUCCCUUUACGAAUUGUAGUUUAAAGAAGUGUUUUCUGUUGAGGUUUUGGUAAAAGUUCUUUGGAAUAGGACAUCAUAGAGGGUGAGAAUCCCGUAUUUGACCUUUACUUUCAACUUUGUGAUACACUUUCAAAGAGUCGGAUUGUUUGGGAAUGCAGUCCAAAAUGGGUGGUAAAUUUCAUCUAAAGCUAAAUAUUGGCGAGAGACCGAUAGCGAACAAGUACCGUGAGGGAAAGAUGAAAAGAACUUUGAAAAGAGAGUUAAACAGUACGUGAAAUUGUCAAAAGGGAAGCGUUUGACACCAGUGUUGUUUUUCUGAAAAUCAAUUAAAGAACUGUUUAUGCUAAGCUGUUUAGACUUUAUCAGCUAACUGUUUAGUUUUGAGCUUUUCUUUAAUGCACUUUUCAGUUAACAAGUCAACAUCAAUUUCUUUUGCUGUAAAAAAGCUUGAGGAAGGUGGCUUGAGAUUCGUCUUAAGUGUUUAUAGCCUCUUGCCUAUGCAGUCGGAGAGAUUGAGGUCUGCAGCGUAGAUCCUUCGGGGCUAAAUGCAUUUGUGCUAAGUUAUAGCAUUUUAUAGACAACUUGUUGACUAUGAUUUGUCUUGUAGCUUACUCGCUUAUGUUAUUUUACCUACGCUUAGGAUGUUGAUCUACAGAGCGAGAGU